UACAGAGGUGGCAAGCGUUGUUCGGAAUUACUGGGCGUAAAGCGCACGUAGGCGGCUCUUUAAGUCGGGGGUGAAAUCCUGGAGCUCAACUCCAGAACUGCCUUCGAUACUGUAGAGCUUGAGUUCGGGAGAGGUGAGUGGAACUGCGAGUGUAGAGGUGAAAUUCGUAGAUAUUCGCAAGAACACCAGUGGCGAAGGCGGCUCACUGGACACAUAUUGACGCUGAGGUGCGAAAGCGUGGGGAGCAAACAGG
rnacentral:rRNA from 1 species